GGGUGGGUGGCAGAGUGGUUAAAUGCACGAGUCUGUAAAACUCGCGUCCUCUGGACUUCGUAGGUUCGAAUCCUACCCCACCCA
rnacentral:tRNA from 1 species